rnacentral:rRNA from 1 species
CCUACGUGAGGCAGCAGUGGGGAAUAUUGCGCAAUGGGCGAAAGCCUGACGCAGCGACGCCGCGUGAGGGAUGAAGGUCUUCGGAUCGUAAACCUCUGUCAGCAGGGAAGAACGGUCACUGUGCUAAUCAGCAGUGAAUUGACGGUACCUGCAAAGGAAGCACCGGCUAACUCCGUGCCAGCAGCCGCGGUAAUACGGAGGGUGCGAGCGUUAAUCGGAAUUACUGGGCGUAAAGCGCUCGUAGGCGGUAUGUCAAGUCAAGGGUGAAAUCCCCGCGCUCAACGUGGGAACUGCCUUUGAAACUGGGAAACUGGAGUGUGUGAGAGGAUAGUGGAAUUGCAGGUGUAGGAGUGAAAUCCGUAGAUAUCUGGAGGAAAAUCAGUGGAGAAGGCGAUUAUCUGGCACAUAACUGACGCUGAGGAGCGAAAGCGUGGGUAGCAAACAGGAUUAGAUACCCCAGGAGUC